UACGUAGGGGGCAAGCGUUGUCCGGAUUUAUUGGGCGUAAAGAGCGUGUAGGCGGCCAGGUAGGUCAGCUGUGAAAACUCGAGGCUCAACCUCGAGACGCCGGUUGAAACCAUCUGGCUAGAGUCCGGAAGAGGAGAGUGGAAUUCCCGGUGUAGCAGUGAAAUGCGUAGAGAUCGGGAGGAACAUCAGUUGCGAAGGCGGCUCUCUGGACCAGCACUGACACUGAGGCACGAAAGCGUGGGGAGCAAACAGG
rnacentral:rRNA from 1 species